rnacentral:lncRNA from 1 species
GUGACUCGAAGAAGCCUUCCAAAAAGCGUGUGAAAAGGGAGCCCUCCUCUACUACCAAGGUGACUUCAGGGAGCACAUUCAAUGGUACGUAUUCUGGAAUCACUCACUGGUUGUUAGAAAGGAUUCUAUAGGAAAUCUGGAGCUUAACUGCUGGCUUUUGUCUGGAGAGCCUCCAUGAUCCAAGACAUCUGAGAAUACAAGAAGAUAUGCUGUGCACACCAACCAGUGUCGGAGACCUCAUGGCUCCCCGGUAAAGAAGAAGAGGUACCCACAAGAAG